CUGCUCACUCUAGCAGCAUGUACACUAAAAUUGGAACAAUACAGAGAAGGUUAGCAUGAUCCCUGCACAAGGAGGACAUGCAGGUUAAUGAAUUGUUCUAUAGUUUA